UGGGGAAUAUUGGGCAAUGGGCGAAAGCCUGACCCAGCAACGCCGCGUGAGGGAAGAAGGUUUUCGGAUCGUAAACCUCUGUCCUUGGGGACGAAAGAAAUGACGGUACCCAAGGAGGAAGCCCCGGCUAACUACGUGCCAGCAGCCGCGGUAAUACGUAGGGGGCGAGCGUUGUCCGGAAUGAUUGGGCGUAAAGGGCGCGUAGGCGGCCUGUUAAGUCUGGAGUGAAAUUCCUGCUUUCAAGGUAGGAAGUGCUUUGGAAACUGGCGGGCUGGAGUGCAGGAGAGGUUAGCGGAAUUCCCGGUGUAGCGGUGAAAUGCGUAGAGAUCGGGAGGAACACCAGUGGCGAAGGCGGCUAACUGGACUGUAACUGACGCUGAGGCGCGAAAGUGUGGGGAGCAAACAGG
rnacentral:rRNA from 1 species